AUUGAACGCUGGCGGCAUGCCUUACACAUGCAAGUCGAACGGCAGCACGGGAGCAAUCCUGGUGGCGAGUGGCGAACGGGUGAGUAAAGUAUCGGAACGUGCCCAGUCGUGGGGGAUAACGUAGCGAAAGUUACGCUAAUACCGCAUAUGCCCUGAGGGGGAAAGGAGGGGAUCGAAAGACCUUUCGCUUUCGGAGUGGCCGAUAUCAGAUUAGCUAGUUGGUGAGGUAAAGGCUCACCAAGGCGACGAUCUGUAGCGGGUCUGAGUGGAUGGUCCGCCACACUGGGACUGAGACACGGCCCAGACUCCUACGGGAGGCAGCAGUGGGGAAUUUUGGACAAGGGGGGCAACCCUGAUCCAGCCAUGCCGCGUGAGUGAAGAAGGCCGUCGGGUUGUAAAGCUCUUUCGGACAGAAAGAAAUCGUGCAGUCUAAUACACUGCAUGGAUGACGGUACUGUAAGAAGAAGCACCGGCUAACUACGUGCCAGCAGCCGCCGUAA
rnacentral:rRNA from 1 species